AUGAAUCUUUUAAUAAAAAUCUUUUUUUCUGAGUAAUUUCUUGUUUGUGGUUUUUUUGCUUGUCUUACAGUGUGUGACCCUGGUCUCAUGGGAGCUUAGUAUCCCUUCCUGUUCUUACAUCAGUCGCUGUAACUCAGCAUUUUCCACAGAGCCCUGCCUCGUGUCUGUCUGCUGGGACUCUGUAUCCUCGGGAUAUGUUCUGGUCUCUUUCAUGGUGGAUAAAGAGGCUGGCAGUCAUUGCUUUUAAGUUUAUGUUGAAAUCACAAGAAGUAGAUUGGAAGCUCUAUUUAUUUUUAAAUGGUAGAUAAUUCUCAUACCAUUAAGGUCACCUCUUUGAGGCACACAAUUAGGUGACUUUCAGUGUGUUUUCUAAGUUGUACAGCCACCACCACUAUCUGACGCAGCACAUUUCAUCAUCCCAGAGACAAACCCGUACCCAUUAGACACUCCUCAUCCUCAAUCCACCCCCAGGCACUGGCAUCCACUUAAUCUACUUUUGGAUUCGACUAUUUGGGAACUCAUAUAAAUAGCACCGCACGAUACACGGCUUUUGUGUUUGGUCUCUCACUCGGCACGUUUCCGGAGCCCAUGUCUGUUGCAGCACACGCCGGUGCUUCCCCAUGUAUACACCACAUCUGGUUCAUCCACGAGCCUCCAGAGACCAUCUGAUGGAUCCUGGCCCACGGGAGUGUCUGCUUCACACACAGGGACGCUGCUUCCAGUGUGGCGGGGCAGUGUAAUGACCACACCAGCGUUUCCUACCACGGCCUCUGAACAGCCCAGGCACCAAAGGACACCCACGAACUUAGAGAGCAGAAUCCAGAGGGGCAAGCCUCCUGCCGCUUCCCUUAGCAAUUCAGGUCUCAUUGCUAACUAGCCUAUUUAUUUCUGCAAGCAUUCCCCGGGUGUGUGUGGGGGGGGAGAGUGUAUUUUCUAGACGUUGACAGUCAAAAUAAAGAAUACAUUUUUGCAUUCUUCAA